GAUGAACGCUGGCGGCGUGCCUAAUACAUGCAAGUCGAGCGAACAGACGAGGAGCUUGCUCCUCUGACGUUAGCGGCGGACGGGUGAGUAACACGUGGAUAACCUACCUAUAAGACUGGGAUAACUUCGGGAAACCGGAGCUAAUACCGGAUAAUAUAUUGAACCGCAUGGUUCAAUAGUGAAAGACGGUUUUGCUGUCACUUAUAGAUGGAUCCACGCCGCAUUAGCUAGUUGGUAAGGUAACGGCUUACCAAGGCAACGAUGCGUAGCCGACCUGAGAGGGUGAUCGGCCACACUGGGACUGAGACACGGUCCAGACUCCUACGGGAGGCAGCAGUAGGGAAUCUUCCGCAAUGGGCGAAAGCCUGACGGAGCAACGCCGCGUGAGUGAUGAAGGUCUUCGGAUCGUAAAACUCUGUUAUUAGGGAAGAACAAAUGUGUAAGUAACUAUGCACGUCUUGACGGUACCUAAUCAGAAAGCCACGGCUAACUACGUG
rnacentral:rRNA from 1 species